GAUGAACGCUAGCGGCAGGCUUAAUACAUGCAAGUCGAGGGACAGCACAGGUAGCAAUACUGGGUGGUAACCGGCAAACGGGUGCGGAACACGUACACAACCUUCCUUUAAGUGGGGGAUAGCCCUGAGAAAUUUGGAUUAAUACCCCGUAAUAUAGUUGAAUGGCAUCAUUUGAUUAUUAUAGCUACGGCGCUUAAUGAUGGGUGUGCGGCUGAUUAGAUAGUUGGCGGGGUAACGGCCCACCAAGUCUACGAUCAGUAGCUGAUGUGAGAGCAUGAUCAGCCACACGGGCACUGAGACACGGGCCCGACUCCUACGGGAGGCAGCAGUAAGGAAUAUUGGUCAAUGGACGCAAGUCUGAACCAGCCAUGCCGCGUGAAGGAUUAAGGUCCUCUGGAUUGUAAACUUCUUUUAUUUGGGACGAAAAAGGGCCUUUCUAGGUCAACUGACGGUACCAGAUGAAUAAGCACCGGCUAACUCCGUGCCAGCCGCCGCGGUAAUAC
rnacentral:rRNA from 1 species